rnacentral:snoRNA from 1 species
CCCCUCUCAGGAAUGCACCUGGAGAGUGUCCAGGACUCUACUAGUCUUGGCUACAGGAGGGAGAGUCAAGCAGAGGCCUACCCCUUCCAUUCCUAGCUUGGGCAGUGGCUAGCAAGUGGAAGGCAAUCUGCCCCAAGU